rnacentral:rRNA from 1 species
UACGUAGGGACCAAGCGUUGUUCGGAUUUACUGGGCGUAAAGGGCGCGUAGGCGGCGCGGUAAGUCACUUGUGAAAUCUCCGGGCUUAACUCGGAACGGUCAAGUGAAACUGUCAUGCUAGAGUGCAGAAGGGGCAAUCGGAAUUCUUGGUGUAGCGGUGAAAUGCGUAGAUAUCAAGAGGAACACCUGAGGUGAAGACGGGUUGCUGGGCUGACACUGACGCUGAGGAGCGAAAGCGUGGGGAGCGAACAGG